UUAAAAUCAAAAGGUAGGGGUGGAGGAAAGAUUACAAAUUCACAGGAAACAGCCAUUACAGAGGUCUUGUCUAUCUGAUCAACCAGUGCAGAGUUGCCCCCUAUAUUAUAUUCUUUGAAUUAUUUAAAGUUGAACCUCACAAGCAGGACCUUCCAACCACAUAUAGGGAGCAAGGUACAGAAUUCAGAAUAGGGGACCGAGUCAGGAGAUGUGUUAUUUUCCAGCACUCUGAUUUGUUGUACAGCCUUGGCCAACCUAAUUUUUGCACUUCCAAUUCAGUAUUAUUGCUCUCCUCACAUGGGUGUGUUGUUGAAGUGCUUUCAGAUCCAUGGAAGGAGCCCAUAGCAAUAUAUCGCUGUUUGAUCCUUCUUCAAGUAGCUAAAUUAUAGCACAGAUUAUAAAGGGUGCCUUUCCAAAUGGCAAAUUAAAACAUAUUUCUAACACUAAAUUAUGAGUUACCAUCUUGUUCAGACACCUUUUGGUAAUCAGCAGGAGGUGGGAAGAAACAUUGGUUUUAGUUGCUAAAGGGAUGAGUUUGUGUUUGUUUUUAAGGUUUAAUCGUAAGUACUGAUGUUUUAUUUCAAAAAGGAACGGGCCCCAUUUAGCACAUCACCAUUUGCAUAAGAUGCCUCCCUCUUUAGAGCCUCUGUUUACAGAGAACUACACAGUGGGUUAGUUAUUUAGGGCAUCAGUUCCCAAACUUUAUUGAUUCAUGUACCACCUUUGUAAAAAGUUAUUGUGAAGUGCAUUGAUGAAAUGUCAAGCACAUGUUCCACCAAUGGUAUCUUUACCACAUUUUGGGAACCCCUGUUUUCAGGAAUGGGUGUACACAUCAAACUCUUAAUUUUUGAGCCAAGGUACAUUUGAAUGGUGGUCUGUAGAAGGGAAAGGUUAAUUCAUAGUCCUGCAAAUGACACUAGGAAUGCAGAAAGCAUCUAUAAUCAGAGAGGCUCUAUAAUUUACGUCUCUACAGACAGCCACUCUUAGGUCUUAUGAUCAUACGAUCUAUCUAGUUUGCAUGUGAAGCUUAGAAUCCUCCAAAAUCUCUUUCCAUGCUUUACAGGGUAUUGGCCGGGGAGAGAGUCUGAUGUACAAUUUCAGAACAAAGUCUGAAGACUGGAGAAGUCAACCACGCACUUUCUUGACUCUUGUCUCCCUGCCUGAAUUUCCUAUUGCCCCAUGACCAGAGUGAAAGUGGGAAGGAGUGAGGAAUUAAAGUAUUUCUUAGGGCUCUCCCUGAGUUCUUCAGUUGAAUUAAAGUAACACCCAGGGACCAUGCUGGAGACUAGAAGACACUCACUACAAUGACCCAUGCGCCAUCACACUACGUUGGGAACGUACUCCAGGAGCUCAAGAUUCUUCUUGCACUGUCCCUCAUUUCAACAUUACCUGGCUGUCAGCUUCUCUUCCUCUGGGGGACAGCCCAUUUGUCCCACUGCGAGAGUGAAGGUGGGCACCAGCACUGCCAGGUAUGCAUGGUCCCAUGCUGUCCUCAUCUCUUCCCUACUUCAGUACAGAUCGUCCUCACUCCAGUACAGCUGAACAGCAGUGGGGCUGUUCAUUCACAUCCUUCAUUCUUCCCCCUUUCCCUAGCCACCAAACUUAACAUUAAGACUGAACUCACACUGUUGCCUGCAGCUGUGUAACUCUGUCUCCCUCCCUAUAAUACUCCCAGCAGCAAUUGCUUGAUUUCCCCCAUUGUCAGAUGAAGCUUCUGGCCCUCCCAGCAAAGUGUCUGAUAGGGACUUUGUUAGCACACACUGAUCAGAGAUUGGUCAGUCCACUGCCAGUUUAAGUGACUGGGCCCAAAAUGCUACAUAAAGAAUAAGAACAGGUAAGUGAAACUGACUAAACAACAUGUGAAACUGACCACUCUAUUUUCACUGUGUGAAAUACAAAGACUAAUUAGUGUUAAUAGCCAAAAGUAAAUUAGAUGACAGUAAAAGUAAAGUUAUUAGCAACAGGAAAUCUUAAUUUAAGAAGUUAUUAAUUUCAACCUGAUAGCGUCCCCUUAGAUACAGUACCACAUUUCAUACUGACAUUCACAAAUUAUGGUGUUUCAUCCAGCUUGGAUGGAGCCUGUGAGACAGGAUUCUUGUGCAUAAGCGGUAAGUGAUGUGACAAUAAACAGCAAUCUAUUUACACACAGCCAGAUUUCAAUAAGAGUAAAAACCCAUAAGGAAAAUUUUAAAAGAUUACAGUUAAGAGUGAAACUCCAGGUUGGCACUCAAGCACAGAUUUGAUAGCAUUUAAAUAACAUCUUACAAGAUUCAUUUCCUACCUUACACAUUUGCUGUCUCAUGACUAUUUUCUUGAUAAUUGCCCAGUAAUGUUCUACUUUUUCUCCUUCACCAUAAUCCCCUGAAUUCAAUUCCACUGCUUAAUAAAUCCUGGGUAAUAUUUUA